GAACGCUGAGUACAGGAUUUCUUUGAUGAGGAAUUUUGAUAUAUCGCCUGACACUACAAGAAUGUCGGAGUUUCCUGUAAACUAUGGGGUUUCAGAGGUGAAGCAGGAGAGAGUAUGCGAAGCUGGUGAAGGUGGUGAUGGCGGUGGUGGUGGGGGUGGUGGUGUAGAAGAUUUGGAGAAAUUGAAUAUUCACAAUUUAGGGGAUUUGUCUCCAGAAGCAACAGGUCAUAUUCAGCAACUAGAAUUGGAGUUGUCUACCCUCAAGCAGGUGAGGAUUACAUCUUUUGCAUUUCCUUUUUGCUUAGAGAAGUUUGAUCGAACAACAUGACGUGCAUCAUUACACUUUCUGAAAUAAUUGAUCAUGAACCUACUGAGAUUUUUUUUGUAAAUUCUCUUAGUUCAAUAAAGCUUCCUUGACUAUUUGAAGUGUGAAGUUAGUUAAAGAGGAGGUGCAUUGUGGAGCAACUAGCUGAGCGACCUUUAUAUCGUUACCAGUUAGAUAAAAGCCAUUUUGGUUUGUUUUCAUCAACCUGUUAAUUGGUGUCGACUGAAUAAUGAGUGAUCAAAAUAGUAUUAAGUUGCUGAGAGUAACAUUGACAGUUGUUCAGAAGAACUCUGGAGACUAACUACCCUGUUCAGACUGAGUUGUAACCUAUACAGUUGAUCAAAUAGAAAAGAUUGAGUUCAUAUGUAGCCAAGAAUGUUGGUUGGCAUAAUACUGAUCAGAAUUAUCUGCCACUGGUAAUGUUGCUUAUAAGCUCAAAUAAACUUGGUAUUAUUGACAUCAUGCCAGAAAAUCCGUGCCUAUGUAUUUUUCCUGGACAUCGAAAUCUGUAAUUCACUUCUGAUUUGGCCUUUUCAGUGGUGUGGCACUACAUAUGAUCCUUAAAGUGGAUUAUGAUUUAUAAACUGAAUGAUAUUUUGCUUGAUUAUUUAUAUAAUGUCCUGAUUGGCCUCUAUUUUGUCUUCCAACUUCUUUUUUUCAUUUACUUUAUAUUAUUUAUGCUUGGAAGCUUGUUCAUUAUGACCCAUCUUUGAUCUGCCUUGAAAUUUAAGAUGCACAAGAUAAAAAUCAAGUGGUCUUCCCAGAACCUAAUUGGUUUAUGACACCACUUUUUUUUUGGGGGGGGGGGGGGGGGGGGGGGGGUGUUUUUCUNNNNNNNNNNNNNNNNNNNNNNNNNNNNNNNNNNNNNAGAUUUUACUAUCAGUUUGGAUUUUUAGGUAUCUGUCCUUUAAGAUAUCUGUGGGAUUUGAUGAAUGACCCAUGUCAUUCGUAGUUUGGUAACAUAUUGUAAAUUUUCUAGAUAUAUUUUUUCAAAAUUUUAUUUGUGACGUACUUUUAUAUUUGAUUUUUACGCUAAACCAUAAAUUGAAAAUGUAUAUGGCAUUAGGUUACAACGAUUCUCUUUCUGAUGUUGAUGUGAAGACUUUGCCUACUCUAUGCUAUGUGUGUUCUCACUGUAUCUUGACUCAGGAGCUUCAUGCCCAGAAACAGGAAAAUUUGCAAAUGGAGCAUAUGAAAAAGAGUAACAACAAUCUGUUAGAGUACUUGAGGUCCUUGGACUCUGAGAUGGUAAUGACGUCAUUUCUUCCCAUUGUGGAUAAAUACAUUAUGCUUUAUUUCAUUUUUUUAUAAAUCUUGAUAUGGAAAAUUUGCUUCAGGUAAUUGAACUAUCUAAACCGUCAUCACACGAAGUGGAGGAAAUUAUCCAUCAACUUGCUCAAAAUAUAUUGCAGACAUUUUUCAAAGACGAGAUAGUGUCUGAUGACAAUGGAGACUCAUCUUUAAGGAGUACUGAAAACUACCAAAAUAUUGAUAACAAACUUUGUGAUAUCAUUGGGACUUCGAGGGAUUAUUUGGCCAAGCUGCUUUUCUGGUUAGUGUGAUGCCAUCUUUGGCUUCUCUUACUGUGGUUAUUAAUUUGUUAUCAUAUUAUGCAAUUUGCAGAUGAUAUUAAUGGGACAUAAUGCAUUUGACCCAAAAAAUAAUAAUAAUAAUAAAUAAAUAAAUGCAAUAGAUCUAUAUCUUCUAUUUGUUGCUUUUAUUUCCCUUCUCAAUUCUAAUAAAUGGACCUCUUUUACUCUAGGUGUAUGUUACUAGGCCAUCAUUUAAGAGGACUGGAGAACAGAUUGCAUCUAAGUUGCGCCGUCGGUUUAUUGUAAGCGGAUGAAGUAGAAAGAGGGAUGUAUAUUCUUCCUCACCUUUCUCUGUCUUUCUACAUUUUUUUCCCCUUUCAUAUGUUUAUAUCACUUUUGUUUAUCACAAAAAAUUAAAUAUGGAUAAAUUCCUUUCGAUAAAUGACUUUCUUGUAGAAUAUCGAUGAAUGGAAAUAUUUCUAAGAUGUGAAACUUGUCCUCCUUGCCUAACCAUCAUUUUUUUCAUUUAACAUUCAUGUUGAUUGUUCAUAAUGUUGAAGACAUGACAGUGACUUUUUUUUAUUUUUCCUUUUAUUUCUUAUGGGGUAUGAACAUUUCUUUCAUUAUUGCCAAAUUCGGACAUCCAUUACGGGGUUGCUUGAUAUAGUCUGUGUGUAUCAACAUCAGAUUAGAUCUGGUGAUACUUGGUUAUGAAUCAUGAUUGAAUCCUGGUAUUUUGGUCUGUUAUAAAAACAGGUCCAGCUUUCUGGUUUGAUCGAAAAAACUGAAAAUCAAGUAGUAGGGAGUUAUAUUUGAUUUUUGACAAUGACCAUUUAUAUCAUGGUAUAUGGCUAUGUUAUAAAAAUCGAAUCAGUCCAGUUAAUUCGAUCUGGUAACGGGACUACAAUCAAGUUCAAUGUGUGGGCUAAGGACUAAAACAUUGGUAUUUGUUACUUUAUUUGAAAGGGUAGUCUAUGGACAAUUGGCUUCAAAAUAAUGAUAUUUGUCAUCACUAUAUUGAUGUGUGUGGUACCAAUGCAUUGUUCAAUAAACAAGAAUGCAUUCCGACUUUAUUGAAUAUGAAUAUUGUGAUAUUAAUCCAAUUGCUACAUAAUGUUUGUCACCAAUGAUAAUAUAUAGAAAAAUUUGCGUAGAUGGUCCCUUUGCUGGAAUUGAGUUUGUCUAAGCUUUUUAAAUGUGACUCAUAUGGUCCCAAACCUUUUCAUCUUUGACGUAAAUGAUCUUUUGAGCGGAAUCCAUUCAAAAGGGCUAUAUUUGAAGGAACAAUUUCGUUAAAUAUAUUCCUCAACUCAAAAAAAAAAAAAAAAAAAAAAAAAAAAAAAAAAAUUGGAAAGACAGUAGUUCAUCUUCUUUCAUCUACGCCUCCAACACAAUCCCACUGACCGGGACCCACACAAUGCCACACCACACCACUGAACGUUAAAAAAUUCCAGAAAGGAAUUUCAGUCGGCUGUCCAAUUGAACGGUGAUUUUGAGGGGGAAAGUUUUGAUUAUUGUGAUUUUUUGAAUGUAAGCAUUUUCAUUGGCUCUGUCUGCUUUUCUAGUUCAGAUAUAUGUUCUUGAGGCCUUUGUUGAAACUUAUAUGCAGCCAACGAGAAAAGGGGUAAGCAGUCGAGAUAAAAGUCGAUCACCCAAACAUGUGGAUCAUCAUUUCCCUGAUAUACUCAAAUCUAUGAGAGUUGCAAUGGCAUGAGAGGCGAACCCCAAUACAAGGAUGAUUUUAGUGUUGAUUAGAGAACUUGUUCGAGAUGAAGAGUCAAUCAAUCAUUCAAAAAGAUAUUGUACUGAAGAUCUCCUAAAAGAGAUAAAAGUAAAAAAUUUCUUUCACAUUAGGAGGUUGAUCACCUCAAAUUUACUCUACAAUGGGUAAUAGCAUCGCAUCUAGGCCAUAGAGGGUGGACCUCUACAUGGCACAUCGAUUGAUUGAAUUGACACAUCAUUUCGACUAUCUAUGUUCAUGGCCUCAAUUAGGCCCCAAGUAGAAUAAUAAUAUGAAGUACGAACCUGAUUAAGCUUCUUGUUGGCUAUCAUGUAGCCGAUCCUUAGAACCUCGUUGAAUGGGGCAUAACCCUAAUACGUUUAUAUUUACUUGGUGAACUUUUUUAUUGCUAGCUUUAUUAUGAAACUACAAUUGUCAUAUUUAUAAGUUUAAUAAUUUUCAGACUCAAGUUUUCGGGUGGUGGUAAUGAAUGGGUGUGGCGUGCCAACGGCGGUAGUGCAUGGUGAUGAUGCUUUGGAAGAACAUUAACUUUUGAUCAUUUUGUUUUUAAUUUUUUUCCUAAAUUUAAUUUUUUUUAACUUUUUUUUUCAGCUUUUAAGUGAAAAAAGGGGGGCGGGGGUUACUAGAUGAAACUACCCCCCUUGAAAUUAAAACAAACUAUUCUUUAGGAUGGAUUCUAUCCAAAAGGACUAUUUAAGCCAAAAAUAAAUAAAUAUAAAAAUAAAAAUUGAAACCAUUAGUGUCAUAUUUGAAAGAUUUGAACCAAAAAUGCAAUUUGAACAAAGAUUUGAAACCAUUUGCUCCAACUUCCUAAUAAAUAACCUUAUUCUUGGUUUCAACCCAACCUGCUCGAUGGAGAAAUUAUUAUUUUGCUUAUACUUGCAGUUGUGAAUUAGAGAAGUUUGCCCAAACUGAAGUUGCAUAAUUGAUUUUUGGGCACUGCAUAUUACUUACUACAGUAUAAGAAAUUCAAAAUAUAUGUGAAAAAAUAGUUUCUUUAAACUAAUGCCUGAGACUUUCCUCUCUUUUCUCUAUCCAAUUCUCACUGUUUUCACUUCAAAUACCCUUUAAAUUAUUAGAAUACGCCCAAAAUAAAUAAGUUAAAAAGGAUGUAAUACUGUUCAUGAAACAUAAACCCAGUAGACAUAUACCAGUAAGAACAUGAGUCAGGAUUUAAGCUCUGUACAAAGCUAAUAGAACAUAAUGGAAUUUUAAAGUCUGAACAUUCUGCUAUACUAUUUUUCCCUUUCCCAUCACUAUCUCUAACAUAUUCUAUAGCAAAGCCAGUGCCAGAAACUCCAUUUCUGGGAAAAUACGGACUAAUAGAUAUUACAAAAUAAAACAGCAGGCAAUUUUUUGCCCAUGUAAGCACUCUAAACGAACAAACAUGAUUCUACAAUUGAGAGUAUGGGCCACUGCUAUAUACAGAUGAAUGGAGCACGUACCAUUUAGAUAAGCUCACAAGAUACUACAAUCCCUACAAUCCCGAGCAACUCUGUUCCCUUGGGGUUAACGGGGCUUGUUGAGAAGUAAUGAACUGCUCAGUAAUGUCUCGAGCAGAACAAAUGACAGUACACUCUAACAAAGAGAAAAAGAGAGAGCAAGUAAAUAGUUGAAUCUUUUAAUGGGAGAAAGGAUUAACAUUUCUACCUUUUUAAGAAAAAAGAAAGUUAUUUUUUCUAAAGUAGUUCUUAAUUUGCAGUUAAAAUAAGUACUUGUUUCCAUUUUAACCAAUAAAAAGUUGAUUAUUGUGUAGCUUUACUUUUUAAGCCUCAAAACUCAGUAAGGAAGAUAUAUAAAUACCUUGAUAAAAUGGCCAGUUUAUAUCAUAUAGAGGUGGUCAAAAAUUGGUGAAAUCGUAAUACCCUAGCCUGGUUAUUGCAAGACGAUCUGUCUCCCAAUCGGUUUCUUUUCCUUCCCAAACGAAUAAAAAAGUCCUCCGUGUCCAGGACAUAAGAGAUCUGAAAGCAAAUUAACAAAAUUUUCCAUGAAAGAUAUAGAUCAUCACUUAAUCUGGGACACAUAAUUUAGCAUAAUCUCGUGGCUCCGAGCAAUGAGAAUCAGACUAGCAAAUUCAACAAGCAACACCAAUAUCAACAAAUGAAAUUAGUACAAGAUAUGAGUACUUGUGAUUGUUUAACAGGCAAUAACAACGGGAGCUUAUUGAAAUCAACAGGUAUAGUGAAGAAUUUAUUGAACUAGAAAUUACCCAUAAGAGAAAAAUGCGCGGCUAAUAGGAUUUUAGUGGAGGUUCUCUGUGUGUGUGUGUGUGUGUGUGUGUGUGUGAGUGUGAGAGAGAGAGAGAGAGAGAGAACCUUGGAUGAGUUUGAUGCCAUCUUACAUUCCAAACCAUUAAUCAACAGAACAUUUUUGGCAGCCAUACACACAGCAGAAGAUUCAUCGAGAUUGUCAUAUUUCUGCAUAUUUCUGCACGCGUUAUGAACGAAGUAAACACCCCAUUGCUCAAUCAAAAUUGAUGCAAUUAAUCAGUUUUCGUGUUGAUCAUGAUCAGUAAUUUUUUUUUUCAUAAAAAAAAAAUUAUGCAACUAUAAUAAAAGGUUGCAAAACACUUUCCAAAGGAGAAGAUUAUUUUCUUUAUCAAACAUAUGCAGACUCAAUCACGACCCUAUGAUAAGAAUAAUGAUGAAUCCCUUUGUCUCUUAUUUUGUCUAGUGGUUUAGGACGUCUCUCUUUAAGGGAGGCAGUGGAGAUCAAUUUCGCUAUGAGUUGUUCAUGUAUUACCGAUAAGCCUAAAUUGGACGUCCUUGUUGUUCUAAUAAAGAGAAGAACCUAUGAUUAGUUUUUUAAGAAAUUUUGAAAUGAACAAUUUCAAUGUUAAUGACACCGUAAGGGUAUUAAAUAUAUAGAAUUGGGAUAAUCAUAGAAUAAAAUGAAAUAGAGUCACUUUAAGGUUUCCUUUGAAAUGAGACAUAGAGGGGAGCCACUGCAAAGAGGUUGAAAACUAGCUUGCUAUUCUAAAAAUAAAUUUGGGGACCAAUUCUGCAAUUUUUCUAAAUAUUUGAUAUAAAGCCCAUGUUUGAGCUCCAUUCAAAUUUUAAUGCAUUUUUCUUUUUCUUCUUUUUAACUAUACAUUUUUCAAUAAAAUAAUAUUACACGUAAAUUAAAAAAAAUUAAAACCACAUUUUUCAAAUAAUUAUUAUUCCAAAUCAUAUUUUGCUUUAAAACCUCAUUAGAAUGGAGCUCAAAGAAAGGCAAAAAUUCACUAAUGCUAUUUAACACCACUGGUAUUAAAACAUCAAAUAAUGCUAUGCAACACCACUGAAAUUAAAUCCCCAGUUUAGUAGCACAUAAUGAUAGGCUGAAUGAAAGGUAACUAAUUUAAUUUUAACUUUCAUUUAAUGUCACAUUAACAUCACUUAAAUUGCGAUUAUACUCUCACUAAAACUAAAUAGCAUUACUUUAAAACAUCAGCCCAUAUUGCAGUAAUGUGACAUUAAAUAAGAGGUACAAUUAAAUAACUCGCUUAAUUGCACCUCUCAUUGAGCUUAUCAUAUCAUACCACCUAAAUUGGUAUUGUUGUAUCACUUGUGUUAAAUAGUAUUAUUUUAAAAGUCGUAUUAUACGUACAAUUUUUGUUGACAAUAUUGGUUGAUAACAUCCUAUUUAACAUCAUCAUAUUUAUCUAUUUUAAUAAAUUAUUUUUUAUAACAUGGGCUUGAAUUUUGAAAACACGUGAUAGUCAAUCAAUAUUGUCAACAAUGUUUGUACACCUUAACUUUAUUAUUGCUCUAAAAUAUUAAUAUUCAUAACAAUCAUCACCUACUCACAAGCACCAAUUCAUUAACGUCAUGACGUCACUCCUGCAAUGGCGAAUCAGUAAUUAAUCGAAAAAACAAGCCCCUUUAAGCAACAAACUCACCACCAAACAAAAGAAACGGCUGGAAAAUGAGAGGGUAAGAGAUUCCGAUGUACGAAAACUCAAAAAGGCUGAGGACAGAGAGUGAGAGUGGCACAGUGAGUCACGGGGAUGCAGGCAGAUUAAAGGUUGGUAUACAUAAAGCAGAGACGCCCACACUCUUUCUCUCUGUAUCUACUUAUUUCUCUCUCUAUAUCUAUACAUGGCAAUCGUAGCCACGGCCACGGCGAGGCUUUUCACAAUUUCCGGCGCCACUGAUUUAUCACUUAAACCUAACUUCCCGUCACCACUCAUCCGCCGCUUGUUCCCGUCAAUCUCUGCUAGGAAACGGCAAUUUCCGGCUGUUAUUAGCUGCUUAAUUUCAGGAGUGGAUGGCGGAGGGGUCCCUGACGAGUUCGUGUUCACCAGGAAAUCAGACUUCGGCCGCGAAUUCUCUGUCAUUGCGAAUAUGUUGAAGAGGAUUGAGCCGUUGGACAAUUCGAUUAUCUCUAAGGGGGUUUCGGACUCUGCUAAAGACUCCAUGAAGCAGACUAUCUCCACUAUGCUGGGACUUUUACCGUCCGAUCAAUUUUCCGUUACCGUUAGGAUUUCCAAACACCCCCUCGAUCGCCUGAUUGUUUCCUCCAUCAUCACCGGGUAAUUAUUACUAUAUAAGUUACCAUCUCGGAUAAGAACGUAAGCUGUUAAGGGUGACCGGACCAUUUGUAAGCGUGUAGGCCGAGUUCAUACAGUAAUAUUGCUGAAUUGUGGACAAUUCAAUUGUUUUUGUGAUUUAUUGGUAUCUUUGGUGAAUUGUUUGUAUUUGUCUAGGUAUACUUUGUGGAACGCUGAGUACAGGAUUUCUUUGAUGAGGAAUUUUGAUAUAUCGCCUGACACUACAAGAAUGUCGGAGUUUCCUGUAAACUAUGGGGUUUCAGAGGUGAAGCAGGAGAGAGUAUGCGAAGCUGGUGAAGGUGGUGAUGGCGGUGGUGGUGGGGGUGGUGGUGUAGAAGAUUUGGAGAAAUUGAAUAUUCACAAUUUAGGGGAUUUGUCUCCAGAAGCAACAGGUCAUAUUCAGCAACUAGAAUUGGAGUUGUCUACCCUCAAGCAGG
rnacentral:lncRNA from 1 species